GGCUGGGGAUGUAGCUCAGUGGGAGAGCACCCCAGGUUCAAUCCCCAGUGCA
rnacentral:miRNA from 1 species